UUAGAGUUUGAUCCUGGCUCAGGAUGAACGCUAGCUACAGGCUUAACACAUGCAAGUCGAGGGGCAGCAUGAACUUAGCUUGCUAAGUUUGAUGGCGACCGGCGCACGGGUGAGUAACACGUAUCCAACCUUCCGUUUACUCAGGGAUAGCCUUUCGAAAGAAAGAUUAAUACCUGAUAGUAUGGUGAGAUUGCAUGAUAACACCAUUAAAGAUUUAUUGGUAAACGAUGGGGAUGCGUUCCAUUAGGUAGUAGGCGGGGUAACGGCCCACCUAGCCUGCGAUGGAUAGGGGUUCUGAGAGGAAGGUCCCCCACAUUGGAACUGAGACACGGUCCAAACUCCUACGGGAGGCAGCAGUGAGGAAUAUUGGUCAAUGGGCGAGAGCCUGAACCAGCCAAGUAGCGUGAAGGAUGAAGGUCCUACGGAUUGUAAACUUCUUUUAUACGGGAAUAAAGUUUCCUACGUGUAGGAUUUUGUAUGUACCGUAUGAAUAAGCAUCGGCUAACUCCGUGCCAGCAGCCGCGGUAAUACGGAGGAUGCGAGCGUUAUCCGGAUUUAUUGGGUUUAAAGGGAGCGCAGACGGGAGAUUAAGUCAGUUGUGAAAGUUUGCGGCUCAACCGUAAAAUUGCAGUUGAUACUGGUUUCCUUGAGUGCAGUUGAGGCAGGCGGAAUUCGUGGUGUAGCGGUGAAAUGCUUAGAUAUCACGAAGAACCCCGAUUGCGAAGGCAGCUUGCUAAACUGUAACUGACGUUCAUGCUCGAAAGUGUGGGUAUCAAACAGGAUUAGAUACCCUGGUAGUCCACACGGUAAACGAUGGAUACUCGCUGUUGGCGAUAUACUGUCAGCGGCCAAGCGAAAGCAUUAAGUAUCCCACCUGGGGAGUACGCCGGCAACGGUGAAACUCAAAUGAAUUGACGG
rnacentral:rRNA from 1 species